ensembl:lncRNA
GCUGCUGAACGCUUGGUUGUAAUUUUGCAAGACUGAUGGCAAUCACUUAUCCUACACCAGCCGUGCCAGGUACUGUUAUAAGCACCUUACGUACUUUAGAUUUCCCAUUUAGGAAAAUGAGGCACAGGGAGACCAAAUCACUUUUCCAUGUUCACACAAGUCGUGAGCGGUGAGAGCCAGAUUUAGAUUUCAGUGGUCUGGCUUCUAAAUCUGUGCUCCUAGCCACUGUGCACGGUCUCCUUGGGAAGACAGCGCAGGGAGGCCCGGGGGACAUCUCCCCAAGUUCUGGCAAAGGAGAAAUGGACCGCCGGAGUUUUAUGGUCAGCCUCCUCAGAAGCACGUCCACAUACUCAAACCGUGUUAUUGGAGAACAGAAUGAAUGCUCAGCAUUUCGAAGGCUCUCAGAACUGAACAGAAGCUCAGGCUGCAGGGCCUGCAGGGGUGGGUGCCUGCAUCUGCCCUGGCCCAGGGCCUUGAGAGAGGAGAACGCCUAUGUGUGUGGCUGGACUGGAGCUGAGAGCUGGGCAAGUGUUGCAAGGCUCCAGGUGAGGAAAGUGGCUUUAGGAAACGUUUACACAGCCUGUCUGUGUGUGCUUUGUCUCAUAGAGACACGAACACAGAGAGAUGUCUCCACAAUUAAAAGCAAUGGCAAACAUGUGAUGAUAAAAGAAAACGCUAGUCUUCUUUAUUGCCAGGGGUCAGUAGGGAGUGGUGAGGACUGUGGCCAGCUGUAGCACACGCACCCUCUAUAAGGGACAGCUGCUGCUCAGUGAUAGCCAUGUGGGAAUAUGGAUUAAGUGUUAUAUUUUUUUUGAGAGCAACUAUAAAUCUAGACUUUUAAGUGAAAUAUCUGGACUUCUUCAGGUGGGCUCAUAAGUUUGAAACUUUAAGUUCACUUGUUGCCCCUGAGCUGUGGCUUGAAGACCCCACUGGGGAAGGUGGUAUCCUGUGGUUUUGGCUCAGGUCAACUUCAUUGCAAACCAUCCACUCUAGCUAGGAGAGGCCCCAUGCUCCACAUGGCCCUGCGUGGCACACAGGGACAGUGGCAGGUGGCGGUGGAGCCAGGCAGAUCUCUUGUCAGGACAGUAAGACCCAGGGACAGGGAGGACCCCUAAAGGCUGACAGUGAACUUCCUGCCUAUUAGCUUACGGGUGGCUUUAAUCUAAAUUGGAGGAAUCAAAAGGAUGUGACCCUUCUUGGUGUCCUGGGUGAAGGAGAGCAAGCAAUUCAUACCACUUAUAACAGUUUCUUUUCAUCCCCUCACAACAGCCCUGGGAGCUAAGAAGCAACCACAUGUUGUUAACAGAUUCAGAUGGGCUAGCGGACCCAAAGGGACACAGCAAAUGGGAUAGUAAACACAUGCCCAAGUGCCUGGAAUCAGGCGGAUUGGGGUCCUCGGCCCAGCACUCAGCAGCCACGUGGUUUGGAGCAGCUUAUAGCCCAUGGGGCUCCAUUUCCUCGUCUCUGUAAAUGUGGCUGCUAGAAAGUUUAAAAUUACACGUGUCUCGCAUUAACUGCCUUUUGGACAGCGUUGGUCUGGAACCUGGAAUAACGUCCGACACAGAGUCGCCCCUCAAGAAAUGUCAUUCCCCAGAUGCUUAGAGGCCCAAAAGGGGGAACAAGCCUUUGUCCUCACUCUGGAGAAUCUGAGAGUUUCAUGAAGAAGAGAACAGAAACACCUCAUGUUCAAGGGAACUCGGACCGAGACAAGUCAACAACUAGCCACAACCGGAUAGGGCAUAGACAAUCACAGAACCACAGACAGUGGAGGCCCCCCCGACCUGGAGUCCUCUGCUCCAUGCUCCUGUGGGGCAGCCCCUCCUCGAAGCAGAGUUCUCAGGAAAGAUGAGCUAGGACUUCCUCCAAGUCCAAGACACAGAGCAGAUUACCUCUCGCCGUCGGCGAGGGCCUCUCUGGAACACAG